GGCAUCAGUGUUGAAAGCGGUUUUCCACUCGUCUUGUUCUCUUAUCCUGACCAGGUUAUAUCCCCCUUUCUCCCCCCCCCCCGAUAUCCAGUUUAGUAAGCCACUUGGAACCUUUUAAGCGGUCAAACCGUUCCAGGAUGAGCGGAGUUGGAUAAACAUUCCGCACAGUUAUCGUGUUCAGACCCUAUAGUCUAUACAGGGUCUGAGAUCAC